rnacentral:rRNA from 1 species
AAUCAACGCUGGCGGCGUGCCUCAGACAUGCAAGUCGAACGAGAAAGUCCCCUUCGGGGGAUGAGUAAAGUGGCGCACGGGUGAGUAACACGUAGGUAAUCUACCUUCGGGUGGGGAAUAACCCAGGGAAACUUGGGCUAACACCGCAUAAAUGCAGCGGCACCACAUGGUGACAGUUGUUAAAGCGGGGGAUUUUAGGACCUCGCGCCUGAAGAGGAGCCUGCGGCGGAUUAGCAGUUGGUGAGGUAACGGCUCACCAAGGUCACGAUCCGUAGCCGGCCUGAGAGGGCGGUCGGCCACACUGGGACUGAGACACGGCCCAGACUCCUACGGGAGGCAGCAGUGGGGAAUCUUGCGCAAUGGGCGAAAGCCUGACGCAGCGACGCCGCGUGAGGGA